AGUAAUUGGAGUUUAACAGAAAUAUCUCUCAUUAGAAUGACAGCCGAUGGGAGGUAUGAAGUUUAACAGAAAUAUCUCUCAUUAGAAUGACAGCCGAUGGGAGGUAUGAAGUUUAACAGAAAUAUCUCUCAUUAGAAUGACAGCCGAUGGGAGGUAUGAAGUUAUUAGAGUUUAACAGAAAUAUCUCUCAUUAGAAUGACAGCCGAUGGGAGGUAUGAAGUUUAACAGAAAUAUCUCUCAUUAGAAUGACAGCCGAUGGGAGGUAUGAAGUAAUUGGAGUUUAACAGAAAUAUCUCUCAUUAGAAUGACAGUCGAUGGGAGGUAUGAAGUUUAACAGAAAUAUCUCUCAUUAGAAUGACAGCCGAUGGGAGGUAUGAAGUUUAACAGAAAUAUCUCUCAUUAGAAUGACAGCCGAUGGGAGGUAUGAAGUUAUUAGAGUUUAACAGAAAUAUCUCUCAUUAGAAUGACAGCCGAUGGGAGGUAUGAAGUUUAACAGAAAUAUCUCUCAUUAGAAUGACAGCCGAUGGGAGGUAUGAAGUUUAACAGAAAUAUCUCUCAUUAGAAUGACAGCCGAUGGGAGGUAUGAAGUAAUUGGAGUUUAACAGAAAUAUCUCUCAUUAGAAUGACAGCCGAUGGGAGGUAUGAAGUUUAACAGAAAUAUCUCUCAUUAGAAUGACAGCCGAUGGGAGGUAUGAAGUUUAACAGAAAUAUCUCUCAUUAGAAUGACAGCCGAUGGGAGGUAUGAAGUUUAACAGAAAUAUCUCUCAUUAGAAUGACAGCCGAUGGGAGGUAUGAAGUUUAACAGAAAUAUCUCUCAUUAGAAUGACAGCCGAUGGGAGGUAAGAAGUAAUUGGAGUUUAACAGAAAUAUCUCUCAUUAGAAUGACAGCCGAUGGGAGGUAUGAAGUUUAACAGAAAUAUCUCUCAUUAGAAUGACAGCCGAUGGGAGGUAUGAAGUUUAACAGAAAUAUCUCUCAUUAGAAUGACAGCCGAUGGGAGGUAUGAAGUAAUUGGUGUUUAACAGAAAUAUCUCUCAUUAGAAUGACAGCCGAUGGGAGGUAUGAAGUUUAACAGAAAUAUCUCUCAUUAGAAUGACAGCCGAUGGGAGGUAUGAAGUAAUUGGAGUUUAACAGAAAUAUCUCUCAUUAGAAUGACAGCCAAUGGGAGGUAUGAAGUUUAACAGAAAUAUCUCUCAUUAGAAUGACAGCCGAUGGGAGGUAUGAAGUAAUUGGAGUUUAACAGAAAUAUCUCUCAUUAGAAUGACAGCCGAAAGGAGGUUUGAAGUAAUUGGAGUUUAACAGAAAUAUCUCUCAUUAGAAUGACAGUUAAUGGGAGGUAUGAAGUAAUUGGAGUUUAACAGAAAUAUCUCUCAUUAGAAUGACAGUUGAUGGGAGGUAUGAAGUUUAACAGAAAUAUCUCUCAUUAGAAUGACAGCCGAUGGGAGGUAUGAAGUAAUUGGAGUUUAACAGAAAUAUCUCUCAUUAGAAUGACAGCCGAUGGAAGGUAUGAAGUAAUUGGAGUUCAACAGAAAUAUCUCUCAUUAGAAUGACAGUUAAUUGGAGGUAUGAAGUAAUUGGAGUUUAACAGAAAUAUCUCUCAUUAGAAUGACAGCCGAUGGGAGGUAUGAAGUAAUUGGAGUUUAACAGAAAUAUCUCUCAUUAGAAUGACAGCCGAUGGGAGGUAUGAAGUAAUUGGAGUUUAACAGAAAUAUCUCUCAUUAGAAUGACAGCCGA